GGGCCCCUUCCCGGCGGGGGCGGGGUACGGGUCGCCCCCUCCUCACGCCCCGCCCCCGGCCCGGGAGGGGCGGUGUCCUCAGUCGGCCCCUCAGACCCUGGAGCGAUGGAGGACCCCGGCCCCGGCGCGGUCCAGCGGUGGGAGCGGGCGCCGCCCACCUGUCGGAUCCCUGGGCCAUGACCCCUGGGACGGCGAGGGAGACAGGUGUGGACAUGAGUGGCUGGGAUGCAGUGCCGUAGCAGGCUGGGGGACACAAAAGAGAACUGACCCAGCACUGCUACCCUGGGCAGGAGUAGAGGAUUAGAGAAGGGGACACCGGAGCCACUCCCAAGGGAAUGAAGGCUUUCUGAACCUGGUGUGAUGAUAGAGCCACGAACCCCCUGAACAAGGAGCUCGACUGGGCCAGCAUCAACGGCUUCUGCGAGCAGCUCAACGAGGACUUUGAGGGGCCUCCACUCGCCACCCGGCUGCUGGCCCACAAGAUCCAGUCCCCACAGGAGUGGGAGGCGAUCCAGGCCUUGACGGUGCUGGAAACAUGCAUGAAGAGCUGCGGCAAGCGGUUCCACGACGAAGUGGGCAAGUUCCGCUUUCUCAACGAGCUCAUCAAGGUCGUGUCUCCCAAGUAUCUGGGCUCUCGGACAUCGGAGAAGGUGAAGAACAA
rnacentral:lncRNA from 1 species